rnacentral:misc_RNA from 1 species
CAUCCUCAAAACCUUCUUGGUUUCUUGACCGGGGAAGGCUUUGGACUUUGGAGGCUUUUGCUGACCUUCCUUUGUUGGAGUCAGCUCCUCUGAAAUGGAUUAGUAGGGUCCGCUUUGCCUAUCCUUGACGUGAUAAGAUGUUUUCUACGUCUCGGGUUUCGCACUGUUUCCUGCUUCUAACCGUCUUGCAUUCAGGACAGAGUCAUGAA